CUUUGAUAUGAUUCCCCACAUCCUUCCCUCCAAUUUGGAAAUAUAUGGAUUUGAAGUGUGGACUGUUUGAUGGAUGAGGAACUGGUGGCAGGAUUGUACCCAGAGACUGAUGGUCAGUGGCUCAGUGUCCAGAUGGAGAUCAAUGAUAUGUUGUGUCCCUCAGACAUCAGUACUGGGACUGAUGUUCUUUAAUACUUUCAUCAGUGACAUUGACAGUGGACAGUCUCAGCAAGUUCGUAGGUGACACCGAGCUGUGUGCUGUGGUUGACCCACCCAAGGAAUGGGAUGCAAUUCAGAGAGGCCUAGGCAGGCUUCAGGAGUGGACCCAGGAGAACCUCCUGAGAUUCAAUAAAGCCUGUCCUUGGAUACAUUCAAAGUGCGGCUGGACAGGGCUCUGAGCAAGCUGAUAUAGGUGGUCCUGUUCACCGAAGAGAAGUUUGAGUACGUAACCUUUAAGGGUCUCUUCCAACUCAAACAAUUCUAUGAUUCUACAUUCUUUUAUCAUGUUUGGGAAAAAAAGUGUUUAAUGCCCUAGUUUUGAUGACUGUGGAACAGCAGGAGGAUUAAUGUGUCUUCCAUAGCCUUCCCAAUAUAGCUGUGUCUAGUCCCCAAACUGUGGCAGUGGCACAGAGCUACUUUUGUGUCACCACCAUCUCAUCAUCUCAGGUUAUUUUUCAGACCAUCUCAUGCCCUGCUCUAUCAGAUUUGUUAAGGAAAAAAAAAAAAAAAAAAAAGGCUUUAGCCCAAGAAAUGGGGGCUUAUCAUUAUAGCAGUGUUUGUGUGGAAGAUAAUGACAUUGUCUUGGCUCCAGUGCAUAGUUUCAGGGAAAUACAUUCAAAUCAGAAUUCAGCUGAUUUAGGAUCAGAGAGAAGUCAUUUAACUUGCUUCCACCUGAUGAAGAUUAAGGAAAAUGCAGAGCUGCACGUCUUGUGAAUCUCUUGAUGCUGACUCUUUUGAUUUGUCAGUAGUCCUCUCUGUAGCAGCAGAGCUGGCUGAGCUCAGUAGUCACACAGCAAAAGUUUUUCCUUGCAACCACAGAGAUCUGAUGCUUUCCUGAUCUAUGUAAAUCACUCUCUUACAGCAAAGUGCUCCACAGAUGCCUGAAAUAAAAACAGCAGCACAGUGUUUUUAUGAGUUAAUAGGUGAGUGGAUAAUAAGUACCAGAAGGAUUAUGGUGGAACACUAACCUUAAGUCAUUUUCUUGUGACCUCACGAAGGGGCAUUAUGUAUGUUUUUCUCCAUGUUUUUCUCCACCUAUGGCAAAUUGGAACAAACAUUUUCUGAGGCAUCAAGCCUUAUCUGCCCUUUCGUACUUCUGUCUUUAUUUGGCAGCUGGGGAUCUGAGAGUGAACUGAUGGUGCACUUUGUCCUGAAUGCUGCUAUUACUUCCAUCUUCAUUAUCUAAAUGCAGAGCAUCACAAGGAACAGUGGGUCACAGUGCCCACAGGUUUGAUAGAGCAACCUAAGUUAUCUACCUUCAAAUGCCUGCCUUGCAGAGAAGUGAAAUACUACUAAAUGGAAUGGCCAUUAUUUUUAUUUGAAUUGUCUGAAACAUUUUAUGAUUUUGCUGUUGUUGUUAAACUUAGGAUUCCAAAUCUUCAGAAGACUGAAGGGACAACAACUAGGAAGAACUGGGCAUCACUACUGGUUUGGAUAAGAUAAACAAUUAUGUGUCAUAUUGAGCCUUUCCAUUUACUAUUUUUUUAGCAUAAGUGACCUCUUAUAAUGUCUUCGCAUAUAAUAAACCUGCCUUUUUUUCUUCCCCUGUGAAUCUCCAUUAAGAAGGUGCAAUCCACAUACUAUCUUAGUGCCUGCUAUAAUAGUCACUAGAGCCUAUGGAAGUAUAUCUGUGCAUUUCACUAAACUGUGGUUUGAAAGAAUCCUGUCUGAAGAACACAUUUUAUGGCUCUACAACACAAAUAUCCUUUGGUUUUAAUGGAAGCUUUACUGGCCUGAAGUAAGGUGUUCUAUUAGUCUGUAGCCUAAUGCAUUUUGUUAAUGAGAAUAGAAUUUAACCUUUCUGUUAAAUCUAAAACAUAUCUCUGUCUUGAACUAUGUUAGGUAGAACUUGACAGGAAAAAAAUAAAUGUGAAUCAACAACAAAGCCCGUAUUCUUUGCAUGAAAAUGCUAUUGAUUUCCAUUCAGACUAAUCAGCUCUUUGGGGUAGGUAGGGUCAACCAUUUCAUAGCAUUUUGUUAAAACCUUUCUUUAAGGAUCAGACACAGUUUGGAAAGCAGAGAACUAAAACCCAAUGGCCCAGUUCUUCAAAUAUGAGUAUAAGCUAAACUAGUUCCAGCAAAUCAAGAUGGCUGCUUCCUGCAGUGCUGUUACUAAGGAGGAUGGGCAUGUUCAGGGCUGGCCUUGGCAUUUAGUUUGUUCUUGUAAUCCCAAGUAUGAAAAAUUAUUGAGUGUGUCUUUUUGAUUUUAUUAUGGAAAUGAGGUUGGACAGUCUUCAUCUGGCACAAAAAGAGUGGCAGGAUUCCUUGUUUCUCCUGAUCUCUGCUCAUGACUUGAAAAACCAGGACCAUGGUGUGUUAACCGCAAAGCUGAUGGAAAUAUCCUUCCCCAUCAAUAUCCCAAGCACCCCUCCUGCCCUCCUGCUCUAAGAAGAAAGUGGAAAGCAAGGCUGGGGGCAGGGAGCACCCCUAUUCAUGAGGAAUCCCUACAGCCUCCAUUUGUCCAUCUGUCCAAGUGUGCUCAGACAGAGUCAGCAGUUGGGGCGGCCAAGCUCCCCAGGCCUAGCAAUUAAAUAUAAAAAAACUGUCUUUAUCCAAACAGGCCAUCUAUAUUUUGGAAAUUUCCAUCGCACUUCCUUCUGAAGUCCUACUUUUCUUAAAGUGCACAGCAGCAGUUAUGCUAGGGUAGCAGUGGCUAUUCUCCAAGCAUGUUGAAGAACCAGGACAGUCUAUUAGCUCAAUGUGAGUGAUCCACGUCACUAUCAAUUUGUUUCUUCUUUAUAACUGUGGAUUUUUUUAAUUUUUUUUUAAAAUUGUUAAAAUUUUCCACUGCCUGUCGGAGAUCAGCUGUUGUCAGUGAAAGUUUGACAUGGAUGACAGUGGCCGUGGGUGGCACAGACAGCAUUUGGUGUUACCCCCAUGUUACUUGUAAUCUGAGAGGGCUUUAGCCGCUAAGAUGCUGGUGCCUUUCAUUCGGGCUUUGGUCUGACAUUCCUGGCAUAGCAGGGGUGAGGCUGGUGGGGCUGGGGUGAGCAGAAAAGGAGCAGCAGAAAGGAAAAGAUUCAUGGAACCCAGUGGAAUGCUAUGAAAUCAGCAGCACCACCAUCCCUGGAUUUUCAGAAAUCAUGAUCCAGAUCCUUAACAGUGAGAUCAGCUUCUGAAUAAAAAAGAAAGAAAGAAAAAGAUGUGUAUAGAGAAACCCUAUGACAUGUAAGUCAAAGCCAGACAUCAGCGUUUCAUUCUGUCCAGUCACCAUUUUUAUCAUUUGUCAUCUGUUUUUUUCACUUAGGAUUCACAAUUUUUUUUCCCAAUAGUUGUAAAGGUCUGAGUCUCAAAAAUACUGGAUUUAAUUGUCUGAGAAAAAGAAUGUGGAUUUUGUGGAAGCCACUAAAUAUCCCGUGACUGGUGAUAAAAUUGCAAGUGCUGGCAAUGCUGAUUAGAGAAGGAUUGUUAUGGUAUUAAAUCAGUAAACAUAAUUCAAUAAAUUGAGAAUCUUGUUUUCUUGGUUGAGUAUUGUCAUGAUUGAAAGGAAUUUUUUUUUCACUUUGUUGUGGAUCUGAGGAGCCAAAGUUCUGGUUAGAAACUUCUUAUAUUGUUCAAGCAUCAAAGAGAAGGAAGUCAUAAGCAUUAAAAUGUCUCUUAUAUUUUACAGAUGAAUAUAGUAGGCAGAAAAAGAUAAGUUGCAGUUCCUCCAGCCAAAUGAUAUCGAACUACUCUGCCUCAGAUUUGGUGUCCAUCUAAAACUGUAAUUUUGGAACAUUUUAUGCACAUCCUUAUCUUUGUAUCUUAGAACAGUUUCAUUAAAGCCACGUUAGUGUUGAUAUGUUGAGGGACAAAAACUGAGAGUUUUGAGACCUUAAAUGAGGUAAUCAAGCACAGGAGGUCACGGAGCAAGGUCUGAUGUAAAAGUUGCUUUACAAGACAUAACCUUAAAACGUGAGGUUUUAAAGUAAGAUUUUCAAUAAUAAUUUUUUUUGUAUGCAACUUCUUUCAUCCAGAAAAAAGGAAAUCAAAUGGGAGGAAAGGAAAGAAAGAUAUGAAAACAGGGACACAAGGAGGUGAAAUGACAUAACUGCUCCACACUCGGAGUUCAGCAAGGAAAGUGACAGUAGGCAUCAGCCCUCCCAGCUCAUGAUACCAUGCUGAAACUUACAAAACUCUACUUCUUCAAAAGCUUGCCCUUUUGAUGAUACUGCAAAUAAUAACACAAUUGUACAGUGAUGAAUGGCAGUCCCGUGCCCUUACUGACAAGUUAGUGAAUGGACAGUACUGAAAAUAAUUUGUAAGAUGAUGAUGUUUAUGGUGAUGAUAACAUAAUAAAUCGAUAGCUGAAUUCUAUGCAAGAUGUUUCAUUAAUUCUUUUGUAGAUGUCUGCCAAGGGGA
ensembl:lncRNA